AGAAGGUCACGGACACCUAAGACCAGAGCUCAGCCCCUAGAAGACCUGGAUGGCUUCCAAGAACUCUUCCAAACACCAGCUGGUGCCAGUGACCCUGUGACUGUUGAUGAAAGUACAAAGGUGUCUCUGGAAUCUUCACAACCACUACCAGUCAUAACCCCAGCAAGCACAAAGAGACUGUCCAAGACACCAGGACAGAACAAGGAUUUAGUGACACUGGACAAUCUUGCAAAAAUGCCAGGCAGUUCUCCACCACCAGAGCCAAUAGAUACUUCAGUAAUCUCAGGUAGACAGCUCAGAACUCGUCUUAGGAACCUUUAUGUGAAAAAUGAACUGUCAGAAGACGGAAUGCAUCCAAAAAUGUCAGGGGAAAUUGUGGACUCAUCUAGAGCACCAGGAGGUGAAGAGAAAGUCAUUAAAGCAAGGAAGCAAUGUGUAAAGCGGAAAUUGGACACAGCAGUCAAUUUACCUAGCAGCAAGAGGCAAAGAAUUGCAGGAGCAGAAGAGCCACAGACCCUAGAGGAUCUGCCUGGCUUCCAAGAGCUCUGCCAAGCUCCAUGCUUGGUAAUGGACUCAGUUAUUGUUGACAAAACCACAAAGGUGCCCAGCAAAUCUCCAGAACCUGUGGAUACAACUUCAGAGAUAAAGCCAAGAAGACGACUCAAGAGACUGGGUGUGACUGAAGAGCCCAUACCACAAAGAACGACUACAAGAGUGUUAAGGCAAACCAGAAACACACACAAAGAGCCCAUAGAUAGUAGUAAUGGUGUAGAUGAGUUUAAGGAGUCUUCGGCACAGAAACAAGACCCAGCCAUAAGUUUAACCGGCAGGAGGAAUCAACCAAGAAAGGUUAAGGAAAAGACCCAACCCUUGGAAGAGCUGACUAGUUUCCAAGAGGAAAUUGCCACAAGAAUGUCUUGCAAAUCUCCACAACCAGAAGAGAAGAAAACCUUAGUAGGCUUAAAGAAGCAGCUCAGAAUACAACUAUUCAAAGUGGGUGUGGAAGAGGAGCCCACAGCACAGAGAAAGCAACCAGCCAGGGAAACCAGGAGCAGACUCAAAGAGCCCAUGGGUAACAGGAUAAAUGUUGAAGAGCUUAAGAAGUCUACAGAGCAGAAAAUUGACCCAGUAGCAAGUAUGACUGUCAGCAAGAGGCCACGGAGGAUACCCAAGGAAAAGGCACAGACCGUAGAAUUGGCUGGUCUCAAAGGACCAAUCCAAACCCUAGGUCACACUGAGGAAUCUGCAAGGGAUAAAGAACCCACACAGAUGCCCUGUAAUUCUCUACAACCAGAGCAAGUUGAUAGCCUCCAACCCUCACCAAGACGUCCCAGGACAAGACAUGGGAAAGUAGAGGCAGACAAGCCUUCAGCAGUAAGGAAGACAGUGCCAACAUCAAGGCAAAGUGUGCGAUCCCGAAAGGUCACUGAAAUUGAUGACAAUGGUACCAAAGCUUCAAAGGCACCUGUAAAGCAGACAUUAGAUACAGUAGCCAAAGAAACUGACAGCAAAAGGCAGCUAAGGACACGUAAGAAUGGGGUUCAACCUCUUGAAGUCCUGGGUGACUCCAAAGAAAUAACACAAAUAUCAGAUCACUCUGAGAAACUAAGACAUGACACUAAUAUUCUUAAGAGCACUCUACAGCAAAAGCCAGACUCAAUGAAACCUCUGAGAAAAUGCAGAAGAGUGCUGAGGACCUCUAAAGAGGACCCCAAAGAAGUGUUGAUGGAUACCAGUGACCUUGCAGCAUUACAAAGCAAAAGCAACCUUUACCUGUCCCCCCCCAGGAAGUCUGCAAGAGAUGGAAGGAUUUUGAAAACCAGGACUUUGUGCUCUGUAACCCCAAAGCAGGAAGCAACAGGUGAGAAGCCUGUACAUAAGAAACAAAGGGCAGCUUCUACCAAGAGGCAGGUGUCACCUGAGCCGGUGAAGGUGAAACACCUGAGAAGUGUGUCACAUAAACGUGAAUCUGUGGAGGAGCACAUUAGCACCAUUAUGCAAAUAGAAGAAAUGGAAGCCAAAAGAGAGAACCCUGUCACUCCAGAUCAGAAAAUACCCCAGAGCUCUAGGUACCGAAAGAAAACUGAAAAACAGCCAAGCCCCAAGUUUGAUGCGUCUGCAGAGAAGGUUGGGAUAAAGAAAAAUGAGAAAACAAUGAAGAUCUCCCAGGAGACAGAGCCGCAGAAUCCAGAUCCUGGAACCAAGAAGUCUUCAUCUCUGGGCAAAGUCAGUGGGAAAAGAACAUGUUUGAGGUCUAGAGGACAGACGGAGAUUCCCCAGCCUCAUGAAGCAGAAGAGAAAACAAGAAAAUCAGGUGCAGAAAUCUCGAUAAAGACCCAGCAAGAGAAAGGAGUCUCUGGAGAUCCAGAUGUUAGGCGUUUGAGAUCCAGACAAACUAGAGUCACUUUGGACAAUGAACCUAAGCCAAGAGUAACUCGAGGGGCCAAGAAAGAUGCAAAAACUCUGAAGAAGGAUGAAGACAUUGUAUACACCAAGAUAUUAAGAACAAGAAGUCACCAGAAAAGUGAAACUGUGUAGCAAAGACAUUUAAGAAGGAAAAGUAAAUUUGGUUUAGUGAUAGAUUCCAGUAUGAUUUUCAUCUCCAGUGUGAAGGUGAACUGUAAAUAAUAUUGCCUGUGCUUAAGGAAGGAAGCUUUGAGCUUUCCUGAUCAUACUCUCUUCAAGCUCCAAUGGAGAUCAUGAAGAUCACCAGGGAUCUCUCAGAGCAAUAGCAGUUUAAAUGUUUGGUGGGUAAACAGGUAGAAAUGUGGCCCUCUGUCCUACCCAAUAAAGCUCUGUGAAAUUCACUGCC
rnacentral:lncRNA from 1 species